AGAGAUGGAGGGGAGGCAAGAUGUUGGCAUAGCUGUUGACCUAAAAGCCUGCUAUGCCAACAUGUUGUCACCUUUCCUG
rnacentral:pre_miRNA from 1 species